UACAUGAUUUUGUUGGAUUUCCUGGGUCAACAGAAUAUCCAUUCAUUUUCGCGAUCACCUCAGGCUGCUUACAAGAAGAGGCACUAUGGGGACCUCUGAAGUUGGACUAAAUGAAUUUUCCAUCAUGAAGAUGGCCAUGCGCUUAUGUGCUUUCCAAGCAGUGGAAAGUUGUGGUUUGAAUGAGAAAUGACACCAUAGCACAUGUAUUUGAGCACUGUUUGUGGAAGUUAUAGAACUUUUUAGAACUGGAGCCUGGUUGGAGGACCUGUGACACUGGGGGUGGACACUGAGGGUUUAGAGUCUCACCUCACUUCUCCCUUGCAUGCUGUCUCUCUGUCUCUUCUGUAUGUGGAUGGAAUGUGGUUAACUCCUGCUCCUGACUCCAUGUCUUCUCUGCUCACUGUCAUACCUUCCAUGGCAAGAUGGACUCCAUUCUCCUUGAUCCAUUAGCCAAAAUAAACCAUUUCUUCCAUAAACUGCUGUGGUUAUAGUAUUUCAUCACGGCAACAUAAAAGUGGGAAUAGAGAAAAAUAUGCUUGGUGUCAUAAAAAUUACGGAAGUCAAUCACAGGCAACAAGGGAUAGAAUACAACUGUGAGAGGGGGAGUUGGAAAGAGGUCAGGAAAGGACUGUCUGGAUGGCCAAGGGAUUUGUAGCAAAGUAGGUAAAACUUGACGCGUGAAUUUUACUUCAAAUCCUUCCUCAUGAGUGAGUAAGCUCGACUUCAAAAGCAAAGGGAAUAAUGGUCAAUGUUGAUAUGGGCCUCUGGGUUAGAACAGCACACGUGCUGACUUAGGGGACAGCAGGGAGCUUGAGCUGUUGUGGUGAAGCAAUUAGAAGCAGUGUUUGACUUUUUGAGACAGGGUCCUACUUUCUAGCCCAGCAUGACCUCUAAUUCUGUAUCCUCCUGCCUCAGCCUCCUGAGUGCAGGGACUACAGGUGCGAACCACAAUGCUUGGCUUAAAUAAAAUAAUUUAAAGAAGGUCAAAGGUUAUCUUUAAAAGGUUUAACAAUAGAUGAUGGAGUCAAUGUAGGCCAAGGGAAUUUAAGCAAGAACAGCUAAAAAGAAAAAAAAAAAUUCUCCUGACUCUCUAGCGGUACUGAGGUCUCUAAAGCUAAAGUUUGAAUAUAUAUAUAUAAUUGCAUUCAUGCAAUUUGAAUGUACACAGUUAUAUCCACUGGCUGAUGACUCAAGUGUUUUUCAUUAUUGUAGAGAAAAAUGAUAAGCCAUAUUUAAAUUGAAAAAUGUGGGAUUGAACUUUGUAAACUGAAAUCACCAAUUUUUCCUUCAUAUUUAUAUUGACUGGAUUGUCUUGGGAAAGCAAAUGUCAAUCAAAAUCAUAUCGCAGAGAUCAGAACACUAAAAUUACAAUGUUUCUACUGGCAGCACCAAAGGCCCGAACUGCUGCAGGAAACGCUAAGAGGCCAGCCAGUUUCACCAUACAGUAUGAGUCACAGCUCUGGAGCCCUUGUGUGGAACACAGCUUUUCUGACUGCAUCCUUUCUGUGAGCUUCCCUUUAUUGGGUUGCUACCGAUGCAGUAAAGAUUAAGCAUAAUGAUUUCUGUGUAGAAUAUUUUUCAAUAUUUAGCUUCUUUUGCUGCAUGCAUGCACGUGUGCAUGCGUGCGUGUGUGCGCGCACACACACAUACUCCUUUUAUACUGAGUUUACUUGAAAGACUAUUCUUUUAACAGUAAUUUCUGAUUAUAUUCUAGGGUAAAGAUGUUAGGCCUUUUGUUUCAUCAUAAGGCUGACUCGCGUUUGUAUCACUUCUUUGAGGCAGAUGCUAAGCUCUAGAUGUGUUUUCCUAUUGAUCUUUGGAUACCAAGCAGGUAUCUCUAGGUGUGUUAGAAAGGUCUUCUUCCACUGAGUCACAUAGCUAACCAUAGAUGCUUUUAAAAAAAUCAUGAUCAGAAUAUAUUGUAUGAAAACAAAUUUGUUUCAAUACAAAGAUUUUAUUUAUGUAUAUAUAAAUGUGUGUCUCUGGGUGCACAUGUGUGUGGAUGUCCCUGGAGGGUAGAAGAGGGCACCAGGUCCUCUGGAGCUGGCUAUCAUGGGUGCUGGGAACUGAAGAGCUCUCAACGCAGAGCCACCAUGGCAGCCCCCAUAGGUAAUUUUAGAUCCAUGAAAGAAAAUGUUUUAUUUCUAUAAAGUAGUUCAAAAUGGUUAAUUUUCUCACAAAAAUAUCUGUCCCUUCACAUAUUUUAUAACAUCAAGUAUAUUUUUAUAAAAUUUCUGGCACUGUCAUACUAAGUAGUGACACAUCACAAAUUGCUUUUUACUCACAAAAACCCAGGGUCCCUACAGGGACAUUCUUUGAAGUUUAGGGUCUUUAUUUAACAGCAUACAAAGAAUAGAAAUAAAUGUCACCAAACUGAAUAUACACUACUUAGAAUAAAAUACACAAUUCAGUGACAAUUAAAACAACAAAUAUUAUCUAAUAGUGGUGGUGCACUCCUUUAAUCCUAGCACUUGGAAGGCCAAGGCCAAAUCUCUAAAUUCAAGGCCAUCCUGGUUUACAUAGUGAGCUCUGGGAAAAUCAGAGCUGCAUAAUAAGACCCUGUCCCCAAAACAAAAAUCACAAAUAUUUUUUGAAAUCAUAGAGAAGUAGGCAAUUUGUAUCAUAAAAAUUUGAGACUACAUUCUUUCUCCCAUUCUUUCUUUUGGAGAUUGGCUCUCAUAUAUCUCAUGUUGGUCUCCAACUCACUGUGUAGCUGAAAAUGAUCUUCAAGUCCUGAGCCUCCCACCAUGACAUAGGCAUAAUGAUUUUGUGCACUGUGUAAAGAUUAUCCUUGCAUUAUUCAAAUGCUGAUUUCUCUGCCCCCACAUCUGGUUGCAAUCUGGACAUGGCAUUGUAAUGCUUAUUCUAAGAAUCUCCUGCCUCAAUGUUACUUAAACAUUUCUCCCCAUUUAGUCUCCAAUUUGUCAAUAAAAGCUGACCAGCCAAUGACUAGCAAGGGAGAGAAUAAGGCUGGACUUCCUCCUAGCCGAGGAGUGGUGGUGGGGGAGUGGGGAUUGGUGAGGAAGAGACAGUAAAGGAGACUCCAUAAGAAAACAGAGCCUAGAGAGCCAGAUCAGUACUAAAAUGCAAGUACCACUGGGAUUUUGACUGGGAGGUAGCCAGAUUAGUUUCAAGGAUUAACAUAGAGUAAUAUUGCUCAGUUGUUGUGCCCUUAAAGCUUGUUAAAUAACAGAUCUGUCUCAAUUAUUCAGUAGCUGUCUUGAUUAAGAGGAAAACUGCAACAAAAAUUUAUUAAAAAGCCACUAACACAACCUUCUGAGUGGUAAGUUAUAAGUGUGUAACGCUACAUAUGGUUCUAUGGCUCAGGGGAUCCAAACCAGAGCUUUGUGUAUGCUCGGCAAGCACAAGAUCAACUAAGUUACAGUCCUAGCUCCAAUACCCCUCUCUUUAUUGUUAUCCAAAUACUAGUGUUCAAUAAGAUGAGGGUUUUGGGGGGCUGAAGAAAUAGCUCAGCGGUUAAGAGCACUGACUUUUCUUCCUGAGGUUCUCAGUUCAAUUCCCAGCAACCACAUGGUGGCUCACAACCAUCUGUAAUGGAAUCUGAUACCCUCUUCUGUCUGAAGACAGCCACAGUGUACUCAUAUAAUAAAAUAAAUAAAACUUUUUUUUAAUAUGAGGGUUUUUUAAAAAAAGUUCUGUAUCAGUAAUUUAAAACCAAUUUUUCCUAAGUUAUUUUACUACCAAAUUGAAUUCAUUAUAUGUAUGAAAACAUUUCUUUGUAGUUAUUAGAAAAGAAAUCCUGGGUUGGUGAGAUGGUUCCAUGAGCAUAGGUCCACACUGCUAGUCCUGAUAACCUUAAUUUGUUCUCUGAGAUCAACAUGGUAGAAAGAGAGAAUUGGCUUGCAAGCUAUCUUCUGACCUCCAUGUGUGCAUGCUCACAAACCCCUAUAGUUAAAUACUAAGUG
rnacentral:lncRNA from 1 species